AAGGGGUUUUGAUCCUGGGCUCAGAAUGAACGUUGGCGGCGUGGAUUAGGCAUGCAAGUCGCGCGAGAAGUCUUUUAUUGAAGCUUCGGCUGAUUUAUUGGAUGGACAGCGGCGCAAGGGAGAGUAACGCGUGGAUUAUCUACCCUCAGACCAGGGAUAGCUGCGGGAAACUGCAGGUAAUACCUGAUAAUGUCUCCGGACCAAAGGUGCGAUUCCGUCUGAGGAUGAGUCCGCGUCCUACUAGCUUGUUGGUGAGGUAACGGCUCACCAAGGCUUUGAUGGGUAGCGGGUGUGAGAGCAUGACCCGUCUCACUGGGACUGAGACACUGCCCAGACACCUACGGGUGGCUGCAGUCGAGAAUCUUCGGCAAUGGGCGAAAGCCUGACCGAGCGACGCCGCGUGCGGGAUGAAGCCUUCGGGUUGUAAACCGCUGUCAGUAGGGAGAAAUGCUUAUGGGGGACUCCCCAAAGUUUGACCUUAUCUUCAAAG
rnacentral:rRNA from 1 species